UGGGGAAUCUUCCGCAAUGGGCGAAAGCCUGACGGAGCAAUGCCGCGUGGAGGUAGAAGGCCCACGGGUCGUAAACUCCUUUUCUCGGAGAAGAAUCAAUGACGGUAUCUGAGGAAUAAGCAUCGGCUAACUCUGUGCCAGCAGCCGCGGUAAGACAGAGGAUGCAAGCGUUAUCCGGAAUGAUUGGGCGUAAAGCGUCUGUAGGUGGCUCUUUAAGUCCGCUGUCAAAUCCCAGGGCUCAACCCUGGAGAGGCGGUGGAAACUAUUGGGCUGGAGUACGGUAGGGGCAGAGGGAAUUUCCGGUGGAGCGGUGAAAUGCGUAGAGAUCGGAAAGAACACCAAAGGCGAAGGCACUCUGCUGGGCCGACACUGACACUGAGGGACGAAAGCUAGGGGAGCA
rnacentral:rRNA from 1 species